UGCUACGCUGCAGGAUCUCAUUUGCCUCU
rnacentral:piRNA from 1 species